rnacentral:tmRNA from 1 species
GGGGCCGACCUGGUUUCGACGCGGGUACGGAGUUGGCGCAGGGCAUGCCGAGGACCAGUCCCCUCGUAAAUCCAUCUGGAAACAAAGUAACUGCGAACGACGAAACGUACGCACUCGCCGCUUAAUACCGGUGAGCUUCGCAACGGUUGGCCGAUGGGCCGGGUCUGAGGGGCAACCCGAGGGCUGCGAAGUCAUUCACAUUGGCUCGCUCUGAGUCGGGUCACUCGACCCAGGGCUAAAUCAAGUGACUCGGGGUUCAGGUAGCGUGCUGCUGCGCGACCUGGGCCCUUAAAACCCAAAUCAGACAGCUACGCAUGUAGAACUGUCCGGCAAUGGCUUGCGGACGCGGGUUCGAUUCCCGCCGGCUCCACCA